UUACUGCGCACCACCAGCUGCCGCUCUCAUCCUCGACUCUCAUUGAACAACAACAACAGCUUUUGAGAUUUUUGCAACCGCGAAUAUUUGUUUUGGUUUCGUCCGUCGUUUAAUUUUAUUAAAUACAGCUACGGAAAAGUGGUGCCUUGAAAUGGAAUGCCACGGUCCUGGUCCUGUCCAUCACACGGAACCGGAAGAUAAUUUGCAUGUUCCGGUGGUCACUACAGACGACAAACAAGAGCGCGGUGUCUACGAUAUUGAUAUGCGCUUAAAACAAGUUGGCGUACUUCCAACAAGUGAUUGGAUUAUGUAUUUUGAUAAGGCGGUCGCCUUGACGUGACGAUAUGUACAUAUUAUUAGGACCAGCCACAGAAUAAUUUAAUUGAAUAAUGAGCUCAAAAGGAAAAA